rnacentral:rRNA from 1 species
GUCCACACCGUAAACGUUGGGCGCUAGGUGUGGGGCCUAUUCCAUGGGUUCCGUGCCGCAGCUAACGCAUUAAGCGCCCCGCCUGGGGAGUACGGCCGCAAGGCUAAAACUCAAAGGAAUUGACGGGGGCCCGCACAAGCGGCGGAGCAUGCGGAUUAAUUCGAUGCAACGCGAAGAACCUUACCUGGGUUUGACAUACACCGGAAAGCCUUAGAGAUAAGGCCCCUUUUGUCGGUGUACAGGUGGUGCAUGGCU